rnacentral:rRNA from 1 species
GCUUAACACAUGCAAGUCGAGGGGCAGCAUGAACUUAGCUUGCUAAGUUUGAUGGCGACCGGCGCACGGGUGAGUAACACGUAUCCAACCUGGCCGUUACUCGGGAAUAGCCUUCCGAAAGGAAGAUUAAUGCUCGAUGGUAUAUAUUUAUCGCAUGACUUAUAUAUUAAAGAUUUAUCGGUAGCGGAUGGGGAUGCGUUCCAUUAGAUAGUUGGCGGGGUAAAGGCCCACCAAGUCUUCGAUGGAUAGGGGUUCUGAGAGGAAGGUCCCCCACACUGGAACUGAGACACGGUCCAGACUCCUACGGGAGGCAGCAGUGAGGAAUAUUGGUCAAUGGACGCAAGUCUGAACCAGCCAAGUAGCGUGAAGGAUGACUGCCCUAUGGGUUGUAAACUUCUUUUAUACGGGAACAAACCCCGGUACGUGUACCGGAUUGCGUGUACCGUAUGAAUAAGCAUCGGCUAACUCCGUGCCAGCAGCCGCGGUAAUACGGAGGAUGCGAGCGUUAUCCGGAUUUAUUGGGUUUAAAGGGAGCGUAGACGGGGGAUUAAGUCAGUUGUGAAAGGCUGCGGCUCAACCGCAGCACUGCAGUUGAUACUGGUUCCCUUGAGUGCGGUUGAGGUGUAUGGAAUUCGUGGUGUAGCGGUGAAAUGCUUAGAUAUCACGAA